rnacentral:lncRNA from 1 species
AAUGGACUGAAUCUCAGCCUGCAGUUCAAUGGGAUCACAUCCAUGUGAAUCUGAAUUGCAGCUGUGGGUUGACCUCAGCCAGUUGGCUUUGGCUCUCCUCUGCCCAGUUAUUUCCAGGAGUCUGGAAGAAUCUCAGGAGAGCUCAGGGAACCUGGAACAAACACCUACUGCUGGCCCCCACUGCUGCCACUCCUGCUCCCUCCUGAUGGCAGGGUCCCUGUCUCCCCCAGUCACAGACACGCGGAUGAGCCCCCAUCUGCCUGGCUGACCCACUGCCUCCUGAGCCCAAGUCUCUUUGGCUGAGGCCCCAGUACACACCAACACCAUUUUCAAAAUGACUCCUUCACAAUUUCUCUUUAAGGCCAGACACCAAAGUCCCCCAGACCUGUCUCUGGAACAAAUACUCUUAUCUUUUGUACUUGAACUAACCUUUAAAAAAAAAAAAGCUUGGAACCUGAUGCCAUAGACGAGCUCUGAGCUUCUGUAUAUUUGGAAAUUCUGAAUCUAAUUGAAUAGCAUGAACUUGUCUUUUCCACAAAGGAUUUGAGGCACUGUGUUUUUAAGUGACUAAGCCCACGUCCCUCUCCAGACACCACCUGGGGCUUGGCAAUGAGGAUGCUGGCGGGGGUUUAAUAUGGUCACACGGGAGCCAGAGAACCAACAAGGUUGACCAGGGCACAGGGGGC